CGAACGGGUGAGUAAUGCGUGACCAACCUGCCCCAUGCUCCAGAAUAGCUCUUGGAAACGGGUGGUAAUGCUGGAUGCUCCAACUUGACGCAUGUCUUGUUGGGAAAGUGUUUAGUGGCAUGGGAUGGGGUCGCGUCCUAUCAGCUUGUAGGCGGGGUAAUGGCCCACCUAGGCUUCGACGGGUAGCCGGCCUGAGAGGGCGGACGGCCACAUUGGGACUGAGAUACGGCCCAGACUCCUACGGGAGGCAGCCAGAC
rnacentral:rRNA from 1 species